UGUCUUUAAGUUAUAUUUGAUUGGUAAAUAAAGAUGCCAACAUCCAAUAGCUGGGCAGAAGAGACAUAGGUGGGGUUUAGGCUUUGGGGACUUGGGGUUGGAGAAGAACCAUGAGGAGAGAAGAAGAGUGCAGGAGGAGGAAGGAGAAGCUGCCAUGGGUUAGGAGUCAAGAGAAUGUGCCUCUGAGGACUGGCCAAUUAGAGUUAAGAGCAGCCCAGAUGAAGCAUAGUAAGUGAUAACUUAGGGUAACAAUAGGAAAGUAGAUUCUAAUCACAUAGAGGCUAGACAGCUGCCCAGCUAUUGUGCUGUUUAAGGCUUAUUGAAAAUAUAAAGGUUGUGUGUGUCUUUUAUUUGGGAACUUAAAUAGGCAAGGUGGGAGAAACCUUGGGCUGGAAUUUAAAUAAAUUUCUACAAGACUCCAUUCUGAAUAUUUUACUAGUUAAGAAUUCUUCUAUCCCCUAGUGUUUAGACUUUGUAAUUCUUAUGUACUGUUAGACUUAUUUCUAAAAUUCAAAUUUUAGAAUUUUUGAUCAAGUUCUCUGCAUAGCAUAGCAUACCAAUAGAAUUAACCAAAAGUCCAUAGCAUAGUAUGAGGCUCUUCUCUGUUUGCCUCUCCAGAUCUCUCCUCACCAUGCUCUAUGCCCUGGGAGGCUGACCUCUAUGGACUUCAUUAGCUGAGCUCCCUUGCCUUUUGGUUUCCAGUUGGGUUCAACCAAUGGGAAGCAUCAGCUGGAGACUGGAGACUAGGAAGAAGAGGUCAGGUUAUUUACUUUUUUGGUUCUCUGUUUGUAUGGUCAUUGGUUGGCAGUGGCUGCAGUUUUCUUAUUCAUUUACAGUUGUAGCCACUGGGUACCAGUAGCUGUUCUUCCCAUAGAUAGAACAACUAUUAAGAUAAUGAAAUUUUAAUUCUAGGACCAAAAACUACAUAGUUUUUAGAACAUUUGCAAAAUGUACCCUUGCUUUUCUUUUCUUACAAGAGGCCAUUAAAAUUAUAUGGUCUUUAAGCUUUAUAAGACUAGAUAUCCAUAGUGUUCUUAGCUUUGACUCUUCAAGUUAAGUUUUCUGGAAGAAAAAAAAAAAAAAAAACUGAAGAGUAGCAUCCUUGGAGGACGGGGUUACUGGAUAGUUCAUGGGUGCACAAUAUUUUAAGUUGGUCUUAUGGGAUGUGUAGGAGUUUUCCAGAUGAGCAUGAGGAAUGUAGAAGGCCUUUACAAUUAAGAAAAAGCUUGUUGGAAAAGAAUGAAUUGCGUGGAUAUCUAUAGGAGAAGAGUUCUGUGUAGAACGAGAGGAAAUAGAGCAUAAAAACCGAGGUAGAAAGUGUCUGGAAUAACCUGGGUGUUAUUGUAGUUGGAGAGGAGUGAGAGAUGAGAGGAGGGUUGGGAAAACUGAAGAUUUUGCUGUCGUUGAGAGUGUUAUCGACCACCAUGAGAACUUUGGGUCUUAUUGGUAAGAUUGAACCAUAGGAAUGAGCUAUUAACAUGGCAUAGUUGUGACUAACCUAUCUGCUCUAUUUAGGAAUAGAUUAUAGGAGCACAGGCUGAAAGAAACUAGUUAAAAGCGACUGUAGUUUACACAAGAGGUAGCAAUAGCUUAGACAAGGGAAUUACUAAGAAACCAAAAGCAGAGCUGUGAGGAUCUGUGGAUUGUUAGAUGCAGGGUGUGAAUGACAGGAGGGAACCAAAAGUUACUUGUGUUUUGACCUAGGCAAUAGAAGUGAGACAUUGAGACUUUGCAGUUUAUUGAGAGAAAAACUAGAAAAGCAAGUCUGAAGCAGGGUGGAGGGAAGGCUUUGCAUAUGCCAGUUUUAGGUGCCUAGUUGACAUCCUGGUGACAAACAGACAGCCAGAUGUACAAGUCUGCAAUUCACAGGACUCUGGUUUGGAGUUAUAAGCAGGUAGAUGGUAUAUCCAGUUCUACGAUUCGGGUCAAGCUGGCUCUGGUAAAGGUACCUUCCUGAGGGUGAGCCUCCGAAGAAGCCACAUAGUGGAAAGAACAAACUUUCACAAGUUGUCCUCAGACCCCCAUGCAUAGCAUGGUGCAUGUGCCAUCACU
rnacentral:lncRNA from 1 species